rnacentral:rRNA from 1 species
AUUGAACGCUGGCGGCAUGCCUUACACAUGCAAGUCGAACGGUAACAGGUCUUCGGAUGCUGACGAGUGGCGGACGGGUGAGUAAUACAUCGGAAUGUGUCCCGACGUGGUGGAUAACGAGGCGAAAGCUUUGCUAAUACCGCAUACGACCUAAGGAUGCAAGCAGGGGACCGCAAGGCCUUGUGCGUUUGGAGCGGCCGAUGGCAGAUUAGGUAGUUGGUGGGAUAAAAGCUUACCAAGCCGACGAUCUGUAGCUGGUCUGAGAGGACGACCAGCCACACUGGGACUGAGACACGGCCCAGACUCCUACGGGAGGCAGCAGUGGGGAAUUUUGGACAAUGGGCGAAAGCCUGAUCCAGCAAUGCCGCGUGAAGGAUGAAGGCCUUCGGGUUGUAAACUGCUUUUGUACGGAAAGAAAAGGCUCUGGCUAAUACCUGGGGGACAUGACGGUACCGAAAGAAUAAGCACCGGCUAACUACGUG